rnacentral:rRNA from 1 species
CCUACGGGAGGCAGCAGUGGGGAAUAUUGCACAAUGGGGGAAACCCUGAUGCAGCGACGCCGCGUGAGUGAAGAAGUAUUUCGGUAUGUAAAGCUCUAUCAGCAGGAACGAGACAAGACGGUACCUGACUAAGAAGCCCUGGCUAACUACGUGCCAGCAGCAGCGGUAAUACGUAGGGGGCCAGCGUCAAUAGGAAGCAGGGGGUGGAAAGGGAGCGUAGACGGCGGAGCAAGCACGGAGUGAAAUGCGGGGGCCCAACACGCGGACUGCUUUUGAAACUGGACGGCUGGAGUGCAGGAGAGGUGAGUGGAAUUCCUAGUGUAGCGGUGAAAUGCGUAGAUAUUUGGAGGAACACCAGUGGCGAAGGCGGCUUACUGGACUAUAACUGACGUUGAGGCUCGAAAGCGUGGGGAGCAAACAGGAUUAGAUACCCGAGUAGUC